ACGAAGCUUCGUUAUAUGAGAACCCGAAAUUAGUAUUACAAAUACAGAAUAAGGAUUUUAUUCAUCACAUUCAUCUAGCACCUACACAUUUCCACAUCCAUCUUACUCUUAAAUAAAUUGAUGGUGUUGGAAACACUCAUCAUAUGCCAACCAUCCCACUAAACACUCAUCAUAUGCCAACCAUCCCACUAAACACUCAUCAUUCCACUAAACACUCAUUAUUCCACACACUCAUCAUUCCACUAAACACUCUUUACACCUUCUUUUGCCAGCCAUCUUCUACACCUUUAACAUCUCAACAUGCAAUUAGCUUUUAUUUAAUCAAAAUCAGCAGCCAACAUUCCUCCCAUUCCUCCUAACAUUCUGAUCCAAGCUAUACGUUCUUAUGCUUGAAUUAUAAUUCACUGAUUCCAGCUUUCCAAAUCAGUUUCCAAGAUUUCCCAAAACAAGAAAGAGAUCCAAUUUUGGUGAAUUCAGAAAGAAGAUUUUCCUCAUUUCCUACUCAUAUCAAGGUCCGGGCGACAGAAAGUGAAGCAGAAGAAGAAACGAUUCCACGCCAGCUUUAAGAACAAUUGAGGUUGAGCAGGCGAUGGAAUGGAUUGGUGUUGAGCGGAUUUCCCUUUUGAUGUUUAUGUAAUGAAACCUUGAGUAUGCAUCUCCAUAUGCAUAACUCACACGUUUUUCCGCUGCAAACACUCUGAAUUUGUUAUCGUAUUGUGGAACUUAUUACUCCUUCAUUUUGUUUAACUUUCAUUUGGGGUUUAGUCGUUAUGGCUGGCUCAUUUGUUAAUUACCCAAGUGGUUAUAUAUAUAUAUACCACUAGUUUGUUGUUAUUAAUGUUGGUUAUUUAGUAAA